rnacentral:lncRNA from 1 species
ACACCGACACCAAUGCUUACGGCUCCCAGCACUGAAGUCCAUGCAGUCAGCUUCUGAUGCUUCAUCCUGUGCAAGUUGUACAUGUGCUUGGCGUGGAGGUAGUAUGGCUCAUCAUGGCCGUGCCCUGACAUCCUCUUCACGCCGGUAGCAUGGAAUCCACGUGAAGCUGAUGUACACACAAAGAACAGGUAAUCAGCAAGCAUGAGCGAAUUUAGAGAUGUAAAAAGGAGUUCGCAACUCAUUCAAUCCCCACAACUAACAUGCCCAGUUCUCCUAAACUACCACAGCAAACUUCAGUUCUUCACAUUUUCAUGCUGCAUUGCUGUAGUCACCUCUAGAGUGUUUAUAAUGAUCCAUGAGGUCCACUGCCUUAUGCCAAGAAUUCUGCAUUAGUAUCAUUUUUACUAUUUUCGAGCAUAAUUGAUGAGUUAAGACAAAAGUCGUGUCCAGCAUGUCAGUUAGUACAGAAGGAAUACUGGUAGCAACGAAAAUCCAAAACAAAUCGAUAAUUAAAACACACAUGAAGAUACAAAUAAAUAAGAGGCUAUGUAAAGCACAGAAGAACAAAUAGAAAUCACAAGCACCAAAACCCUGGUGGAUAUUGAUGACAUGCCAGAAUCCGACUAUUAGUCUCUAAGUGUAUGUGUGAUGGUUCUUUAUGAGCAUCUAUGACACAUGAUGCUCAGCUAAAUUCCAUCAACCUUAUUAUUUGUCCAUAUUUACAGCAGAAAGCACCUCAAGCAGCCUACCAAGAAUUAGGACAUGGAUGAGCAAAAAGGGUUAACAGUAUCAUGUCACAGUACUAGUCUCCCAGGUGUAUGUGUGAUGGUUCUUUAUGAGCUUCUAUGACACAUGAUGCUCACCUAAAUUCCAUCAAUCUUAUUAUUUGCCCAUAUUUACAGCAGAAAGCAACUCAAGCAGCCUACCAAGAAUUAGAACAUGGAUGAGCAAAAAGGGUGAACAGUAUCAUGUAACAGUACUAGUCUCCCAGGUGUAUGGGUGAUGAUCAUGUAUGAGCAUCUGUGGCUCACAUGAUGAUCACCUAAAUUCUAUCGACCUUUAUUACUUGUCCAUGUUAACAGUCAGCACAAAUCAAACAUCCUACCAAGUAUUAGAAAACAGAUGAGCAAAAAGGGUUACAGUGUCAUAAGAAGAGUAAUAUUUUAGCAUGAAACGCUUUGCAGGCUAUGUUUUGUUUCGGCAUAUAGAUGAGCAAACUAGCAGUACAAGGUUGCCAGUAAGCUUGAAAGUGAUUUGGUUAAAGCUGGUAGUUAAGAAACAUAUUGAGUGGUAUUCUUUUUCGUCACCCGCACAAAAAAAAAGAAUGCAUGUGUAAUGUUCUUUCAGGAGCACCUGCCACUCACGUAAUUCUCAUGUACAUUCCAUAAAUUUUAGUCUUUGUCCCUAUCUACAGCAAGACAGAACUCAUGUGUCUUGCCAAGAAUUAAACACUACAAAUUAUGAACAGAAGUUGUUUCACUGCCAUAAGAUACACAUUUUAUUAUUUAGUAACAAAAGAUGAAUGCAACUCAUGUAGCAUACACAUAAUUAUGAGACUCUAACUGACAAGGAAAUAGGAUUAAAUGCCAUAAGCUAUGUAGUAUUUUCCUCACAGAAAGAUAAGUAUUGAAAUACUGGUAGUCUGUUUCCUGUUUUUCUUGCAUAGAGAUGAACAAACUAGCAAUGCAAAAUUGCCAAUUAAAAAUGAUCAAGCUGCUAGUUCAGAAAUAUAUUUUGUCUGGUUCUUGUCUCUAAGAACGCAUGUCCGAUAAUCCUUUAUGAGCAUCUACAACUCACACGAUACUCACCUAAAUUUCAUCAACAUCACUCUUUGUCCAUAUUUACAGCAAUACGCAACUCAUGCGGCUUGCCAAGAAAUAGACAUUACAAUCAAAUUUUGUUACACUGUCAUCACAGCUAACAGUCUAAGUUAUCGGUGUAGUACGUCAGUUCAUGAAUGAUAAAAUGGUCAGUCAACAAAUUGUGUGUCAGUCCUUCUAGUACUCCCCACCCAUAUUCAUUCCUGACAAGGCUAGUCGCUGGAUCCAUCCAUCAAAGAAGGACAAUGUAAAAAACUGAUUAUAUAAUAACCAGUUCAAUCGAAAACCACAGCCAUAUCCACAUCUGAGGGCCCAUUUUAGCCUAUGACGAACCAUUUCCCCAAAUUAUAUUAACGAUCCCAAAACAGCCCGGUACUACGGUUACAGAUUCCGAGUAAUUUCCACGGGUCAAACAGAUCUACCGCUGCGCAGAUACACAUCAAUCGAGAUGGGCAGAAGUACACAGCCGGAGACGCGGAUCGCAUCAUUCAAACCCCAAUCGGAUAAUAGAGGAGGGAUAGUGGGAGGGGGGGUACUUGCCUGGCUUGGAGGCCUCGGCGCCGGUGGCGAGGAGGCGGAUCCCGGAGCGGAGGCCGCGGUUGAGAGCAGUCGCCAUCGCCUUCGUGCUCGUGUUCGUCUGGUCGCCGCCGCCGGAGUUGUGGUGGUGGGUGCGUUUUGGGGGUGAUUUAACCGAUCUGCUGCGACUCGGCUUUCGAGGGUUGUGCCCUUGCG